rnacentral:rRNA from 1 species
UAGGGAAUCUUCCGCAAUGGACGCAAGUCUGACGGAGCAACGCCGCGUGAGUGAAGAAGGAUUUCGGUUCGUAAAACUCUGUUGUUAGAGAAGAACAGCGAAUAGAGUAACUGUUAUGCGUGUGACGGUAUCUAACUAGAAAGCCACGGCUAAAUACGUGCCAGCAGCCGCGGUAAUACGGAGGUGGCAAGCGUUGUCCGGAUUUAUUGGGCGUAAAGCGAGCGCAGGCGGUAAAUUAAGUCUGAUGUGAAAGCCCCCGGCUCAACCGGGGAGGGGCAUUGGAAACUCGAUGGCUUGAGUUCAGAAGAGGAGGAUGGAAUUCCAUGUGUAGCGGUGAAAUGCGUAGAUAUAUGGAAGAACACCAGUGGCGAAGGCGACUCUCUGGUCUGUGACUGACGCUGAGGCUCGAAAGCGAGGGUAGCAAACAGG